rnacentral:tRNA from 1 species
GCCUGGGUGGCUCAGUCGGUUAAGCAAUCUGACUCUGGCUCAGGUCAUGACCUCACAAUUCGUGGGUUCAAGCCCCACAUCAGGCU